GACGUAGGGCGCGAGCGUUGUCCGGAUUUAUUGGGCGUAAAGAGCUCGUAGGCGGCUUGUCGCGUCGUCCGUGAAAACCUGAGGCUCAACCUCAGGCCUGCAGUCGAUACGAGCAGACUAGAGUGUUGCAGGGGAGACUGGAAUUCCUGGUGUAGCGGUGAAAUGCGCAGAUAUCAGGAGGAACACCGGUGGCGAAGGCGGGUCUCUGGGCAACAACUGACGCUGAGGAGCGAAAGCGUGGGGAGCGAACAGG
rnacentral:rRNA from 1 species